AUUGAACGCUGGCGGAAUGCUUUACACAUGCAAGUCGAACGGCAGCACGGACUUCGGUCUGGUGGCGAGUGGCGAACGGGUGAGUAACGUAUCGGAACGUGCCCAGUCGUGGGGGAUAACGUAGUGAAAAUUACGCUAAUACCGCAUACGAUCUACGGAUGAAAGCGGGGGAUCGCAAGACCUCGCGCGAUUGGAGCGGCCGAUAUCAGACUAGGUAGUUGGUGAGGUAAAGGCUCACCAAGCCAACGAUCUGUAGCUGGUCUGAGAGGACGACCAGCCAAACUGGGACUGAGACACGGCCCAGACUCCUACGGGAGGCAGCAGUGGGGAAUUUUGGACAAUGGACGCAAGUCUGAUCCAGCCAUUCCGCGUGCAGGACGAAGGCCUUCGGGUUGUAAACUGCUUUUGUACAGAACGAAAAGGUUUCUAUUAAUACUAGGGGCUCAUGACGGUACUGUAAGAAUAAGCACCGGCUAACUACGUGCCAGCCGCCGCCGUAA
rnacentral:rRNA from 1 species